AUAUAACGGUUGCUUUUAAUAGAAGUACCUUUUCUAAGAAGGAGACCUCCGUCUUGUUAUGCUAUUAGGGGCGAACGCAUUUAUUUUCAGGUUUUACGACCACGAAGAUUUAGCGAAGUUUUGUUUAUUUGCCUUAAUGCACAUUUAGAAAAGGCAGUCGAAGAGCUACUUUGAGGCCAUGCGUUUGUAUUAUGCACAGUACGAAAGUUAAAACCUCUGAAACCUGGUUGCCGCAUAUAUACCUUUGCAGCCGCAUAUAGCAGCCAUGUUACUUUCUAAAAUAAAUAUUUAAUGGCCUUGUGGCACACCCUUUCCUCACUGUGAAAGAUCCGCACGUUGUUAUUUAUUCGGACAAGACGAAAUAAACUCCUGUAGGUGCACAGAAAACGUCAUUCGGAACAGCCAAGAUAUUCUUUUCUCGAACUGUAGCCUGUUGAGAAAAACCCUAUUGAGAUAAGAAACACAACUAAAAUUCCUAUAAUGAGAUCUCAGAAAUCAAUUAUCGAAGCACACCGUCUUGGCGGAGGCCCGGCUAAUGAACUACCAAAAUAACAAAAAAAAAAAAGGGAAGGGGGAGAAAAAAAAGUGGCGUUUAAUCCAAUCAAAUGUAACCUCCAACUUCUCGGGUGUGUGUCUUCCUCCUAACAACCUAACACGAUAAGCGCUCCUUCACCGCCAUUUGUACUUGUAAAAACUGCCUUUUGGCAACGUUAAUCUGACCCUUUCAUUUUUAACGAUUUUUAUUAAAAGGGGGAAAGGAGAAUACGGGUAAGGUUAAGCGUAAUCAGCUAGGAAGUGCUUCCAAGCAAAACUUCUUUCCACCGAGCAUAAAUACAAAUUAAAUGAAGAAUGGGGCCGUUCUGCGGGGACGAAUACUAAAAUUAUACUACGGUUGGGGCAUUAUUGUCGUCUUCCUCCCGUGCUUUGUGAGCCCUGUUUGCUUCAGCCAGGAAUGCACGAAAUUUAGACAACGCAGAAACGCCACAGGAAGCGACAAUCACGACAAGAAACGGUAAUUUUUAUUUUUCGUUCCAUACAAGUCAGACAAUAGAAAAUACAUUGCAUAAAAAUAUGAAUACAUGUUCCUUAAUAGCACACAGUGUAUCUACGUAUAAUUACUGAGCGUUCAGGGUUCUUUUUUGUUCUAGAUUUUGAAUUCUCGAUAGUCUGCCUUUUCAUAUUUUGUAGUUUGGAUAUGUAUUAGAUGCCCCUUUUCAUACCAUGUGCUCAACAUAACAGAAAUGUAAUCUGCACUUGCCUGUAAAAUGAAAUUGUGGUCACAAAAGAAAUGAUAAGACACUCUCAUUAGGAGGCAAGCCGGUCAAGGGACCUACCUGGCUGAAAGGAAAGGGAUAUUAUGCAGGAAAUGCUGGCCCGGAUUGUACUGGCAUACCGUGGUUUACAUUUGUGUGAAUUAUAUUCUAAUUUAAUAUGAAAAGAGGAUUCGUCUAAUGUUUUACACUCCUUCUGUACUUCAGAGCAGUUUAAAUAGGGUUUCUCUGUGUAUUCCAUACAGAAGGUGGGGAUAUUGGCAUUAGAACAAGACUCUGACUGUAAUAAUUAGAGAAUCAUAAGCAUUCCUCUUUAAAGUAAAUAGAGACUGUUUAUUCUUAAGAAAUCCACGCAGGAUGUUUCUCCUUUACGUCACAGCCAUCUGGAGACCUAUAAAAAGAUUAGAAAACAAGCAUGGCAAUCACAUACUAAUCUACAGGCCAUUAAUGGGAAUUUAUAAGGGAG
ensembl:lncRNA